rnacentral:rRNA from 1 species
AACGAACGCUGGCGGCAGGCUUAACACAUGCAAGUCGAACGCCCCGCUAGGGGAGUGGCAGCCGGGUGGGUAACGCGUGGGAACAUACCCUUUUCUACGGAAUAUCCCUGUGAAACUGGAAUUAAUACCGUAUACGCGCUACGGUGGAAAGAUUUAUCGGGAAAGGAUUGGUCCGCGAUGGAUUAGCGGGUUGGCGGGGUAAAGUACUAUCAAGGCGACGAUCUAUAGCUGGUCUGAGAGGAUGAUCAGACACACUGGGACUGAGACACGGCACAAAAUCCUACGGGAGGGGGCAGUGGGGAAUAUUGGAAAAUGGGCGCAGGGAUGAUGCAGCCAUGAUGGGUGAGUGAUGAAGGCAUUAGGGUUGUAAAGCUCUUUCAACGAUGAAGAUAAUGACGGUAGUCGGAGAAGAAGCCCCGGCUAACUUCGUG